rnacentral:rRNA from 1 species
ACGAACGCUGGCGGCGUGCCUAACACAUGCAAGUCGCACGAGAAAGCUCUUCGGAGUGAGUAGAGUGGCGCACGGGAGAGUAAUGCAUAGGAACGUACCAUCGGGUGGGGGAUAACCACGGGAAACUGUGGCUAAUACCGCAUGAUAUGGAAACAUCAAAGAGGGCCUCUACUUGUAAGCUCUUGCCGGAUGAUCGGCCUAUGUCCCAUUAGCUUGUUGGUGAGGUAACGGCUCACCAAGGCGACGAUGGGUAGCUGGUCUGAGAGGAUGAUCAGCCUCACUGGGACUGAGACACGGCCCAGACUCCUACGGGAGGCAGCAGUGGGGAAUUUUGCACAAUGGACGCAAGUCUGAUGCAGCAACGCCGCGUGUGUGAAGAAGGCCCUUGGGUUGUAAAGCACUUUCGGCAGGGAAGAAGGGUCUUUGGUCAAACAGGCCAGAGACUGGACGGUACCUGAAGAAGAAGCACCGGCUAACUCCGUGCCAGCAGCCGCGGUAAU